GAGUGAAUGAUGAGAUCAUGUCUUGAGGAGAUUUAAUAACAUAAAAAUUAUGCUCAAUGGGAUUAUACUAGGACCC